rnacentral:ncRNA from 2 species
CGGCACGCGUCGGGAGAGCGUGCGACAGCCUGGAUUCCGGGCCGCCGCGCCGCCGAAGGGGCACACCCACAAACUCUCAGGCAAAAGGACCGACCGCGU